AUUGAACGCUGGCGGCAUGCCUUACACAUGCAAGUCGAGCGGCAGCGCGGGGGCAACCCUGGCGGCGAGCGGCGGACGGGUGAGUAAUACAUCGGAACGUGUCCUUUCGUGGGGGAUAACCAGUCGAAAGACUGGCUAAUACCGCAUGAGAUCUCACGAUGAAAGCGGGGGACCGCAAGGCCUCGCGCGAUUGGAGCGGCCGAUGUCGGAUUAGCUAGUUGGCGGGGUAAAGGCCCACCAAGGCGACGAUCCGUAGCUGGUUUGAGAGAACGACCAGCCACACUGGGACUGAGACACGGCCCAGACUCCUACGGGAGGCAGCAGUGGGGAAUUUUGGACAAUGGGCGCAAGCCUGAUCCAGCCAGGCCGCGUGUGUGAAGAAGGCCUUCGGGUUGUAAAGCACUUUCGGCCGGAACGAAAUCGCGCGGGCGAACAUCCCGCGUGGAUGACGGUACCGGAAGAAGAAGCACCGGCUAACUACGUGCCAGCCGCCGCAGUAAAAC
rnacentral:rRNA from 1 species